rnacentral:lncRNA from 1 species
AUAUAUAUAUAUAUUAAGUUUUGACAAAACCCGUAAACCAAAGAAAACCAAAGCAUACAAAAUUGAAUUGUCUAUGUUUUUUUUUCAUGGUUUAAUUUUUUUUAUAUAAAAAGAAACGUACGUAAAAAAGCAAAAAUAUCAUAUAAAACUUUUCCUAGUUAAAAAAAAAAAAAAAAAAAAAAAGUUUCCUAGUCGCAUACAAUAUUUAUGGGAUACUUUAUGGAUGCAUGUCUAUAUAUUACUAUAAUUAGAAAAUGAUAAUACAAAUAAGGCUAAAUUUUGAGAGUAAGACGACAUGUGCUUCAUAGGCAGAAGAAGAAAAAAAAAGUA